CUGUUGCUUUUCGAUAUUUAUUGUUAUUUGCUCUAAAUUGACAUAGUUGAAUUCAUUUCUAUAAAAUAGCAAGAAUAUUGAAAAAUUUCUUUUAAGUAUUUUGAUAAUUUAAAUUUAGUACGUAAUAUAUUGUAAAUAUCAGGGUGCUUACAAACACAAACAACUUUUCGACGACGGGAAAAUAACAUUUUACACACUGUGCAUUUUACUCAAAUUUUACUGAGGGCCAACCCAAGGCGGAUUUUGGAUUUUACCACAACAAAGUGACCAGCCCUGUCUGUAAUAAUAUAUGUAUGUCUGUUUAUCUGUGAGAAUCUUGGACCAGCCUUGACAACGAAGGUGGUGUGGUUGGUUCCCAGGCAGGCAGGCUGCUGAGGCCGUGAGACUGGAGACAUAGUCGUAGUCCAACAGAAGUGCAUUUGCGGUGCAUCCAUUUUGGCACAUAUCUAUCUCAAAAGCCAGUCAGCCAUGUUCAGUCAUUGCAUUAGAAGUGGUUUGGCUCUGUUCAAAUCAGCCGUGCCGGUCCGACACAUCUGCAUCACAAGGACCGUGCGCCGACAAACCGUCCAGGAUGUGAUCGCCCGUCUGGAGUCAGUGACGGGCGCCCAGACGUCCUUCUCAUCCCCUGCCGAGGACCGUGCGGCUCUGGAGGCGAUCCUGCCCCGCUCACAGGCCGAGCUGCCCGGACGGCGCAUGGCAGACAGCUAUGACGAGGCCUACAUCCCGCUCGGAAAGGAUCUGGCACUGCGGGAGAAGUACAUCAACUACAUGGGCGGAGUGCGCACCGGCAGACUCAUGGAGGAUAUCGACGUGUUUGCUGUGUGGCUGUGCUACAAGUACGUGAAGAACCCCAAGCAGCUGCCCAACAUGCCCAGCCCGUUCUGCAUCGUCACCGCGCUGGUGGAUCGGAUGGACUUCACUGCGCACAACCUCAAGCCGGACGAGGACAUCCGUCUGUCCGGCAAGGUGACGUACGUGGGCACCAGCUCCCUGGAGACCACCGUGGUGCUGGAGCAGCUGGACGGUGGCCACUGGGAGCCCAUCACCAAGGCAGAGAUGGUGAUGGUGGCGCGCGACCCGCUCAACACUGGAUCGGCCGUGGUCAACCCGCUGGUGGCCGAUACUCCAGAGGAGCAGGAGAUGGUCAAAGUCGGAAAAGUGAACAAGGUGCGCCGUAAGCGGAUGGCCGAGCAGUCGCUGUUCAAGCUGCCGCCGACGCAGUCAGAGGUGGCACUCAUCCACCAGGUGUUCAUCGACACCGUCGACCACGGCACGUUCCGACAGCGCCGGCCCGAGAACGCCCUCUUCAUGAGCGAGACCAAGCUGAAGAACCUCAUCAUUUGCCAUCCGGAGCACCGGAACCGUUUCGGGCGAAUCUUUGGCGGUUUUCUCAUGCGCCAGGCGAUUGAGCUUGGCUGGGCGAACGCCAUGGUCGCUAGCGGUAGCCGGCCGCGUCUGACCCACGUGGACGACAUCCUGUUCCGGAAGCCGGUCGACGUCGGCUCUCUGCUCUACCUCCUCUCUCGGGUGAGCGAGUGACGUCACAACUCUGUCGCUGAGUUGGUGUGUGACGUCACAGGAUGUGUGGCAUCACCGGUCUGGGUUUUGAUUUAUGUGCUUGCUUGUUUCUGAGCACUUUGCAUGUUCGGCUGGUGCCCGGUUCUCGCAGCUCGGUUGCACAUGGUUGAUGAUUUCAUUGAUUUGACAUAUGUCUUACUUAUGCCAAUAAGGUCAUCAUGUCGACGCUGCUCGUUGGCCAAUUUAAGUUUGUGUUUAGUAUGUGCGUUACAUUAUCAGCAGCAGCCAACAUUGGAGCCUAGGUACCAGUUUCCAUGCUGAGUACCCUGUACUCUGAUAUUAUCCAUUUUCAGUGUUUUCUGUCGCCGGUGACGUUUCCGGAAAGGCAUCUCUUCAAUGGUCUGGCCAGUUCCGGCUGAAUGUAGCUAAUUGGCGCGAACAACGCUGAACACCGCGGAAAGCUUGCGGUUCACCUCAGCUGAUGGUGUAUUCUUACAGUGUUUCUCAUAAUAAAAAGCAAUAUAACUGAACCAUUGUCACCAAUCUCAAGAGUCAAGUAGCUCGUCGUUUUUGCAAUAGCAUUUCCAGUUUGAUCACACUGCCCUUUGCUAUUGCCGCUCUCAUUUCCAGCACUGCUCUCAUCUGUUCAUCAUGUGACUGGUUUCCAGUAUCCGAGACUCGAUCGGUCUGCACGACACACCUUUAGCAGUCUGCCCCCUACCUCAGGUGGUGUACACGGAAGGUAACAACCUGCAGCUGUGCGUCUCAGCCGAGGUGGUCGACCCACGGCUGGGCACCAAGGACCUCACCAACGUCUUCUACUUCACGUUCACCACCAAGGAGCCGGUCAAGCCGAUCCUGCCGCAGACUUACCACGAGAUGAUGAUGUAUCUGGACGGGCGGCGACACUACCAGGCUCUCAUGGGCGAGAAGAAGUUCUACGGCCAAGCCGACACAGAGGCUGAUGCCCACAGUGGCAUGUAGACUGUGAGAAGGCGGCGAAGAGGCCCUGCGUGCUAACAGCGGCAUGUAGCCUGUGGAAGAGCGACAAGAGGCCCUGCGUGCGAACAGUUGCAUGUAGGUGGGAACGAGCUUUGAGUGUGACCCACAACGGAGGAUAAGUGUAGUACGGGGUCCAGUCGUCCUGUGUGCCCACAGGAGCGCAUAUGGUGUGAGGAGCGCAAAAGGUGUCCCGCUCAGCGGCAUAUAAUCAGGUGACGAGUGCCUAGCCUUCCGUCGUUUACGGGAGUUUGGUAUCGCCGAGCUGACACCCACGCAAUGUUCGGGAUACACGAGGUGUCCUGAUCUACAGGAGACUUCGGACCCUGAUUAUAAAACCCGAGAAAGGCACCGUGGCGGUACUCGAUUCAUCCAAGCUCCGGCUGGGAAUUCAGUCAAGUGGCCGUUGUGACCGUGGCUUAUAACUGUGUGGGAGUGGUAAUACGGCUAUGCCUCAGAGGUCACCCCGCCGCCCUGACGUGUGUCUGGGAGGCUCUGUGAGACUCCUGCCGGACAGGUGCGAGGGUGGACCUCCCAUGGAAGGUUGAUGGUGGGUCCGGGGACCGGUGAUGGGCGACAGGGUGUGUACUAGUGAUAUAGUGACACCUUCACAUAAUAACCCCGGCCGGCUGUCGACGCAUCAUAGAACCCUACCAACAGAGUGACACCUUCCACUCUGUAACCACCGUGGACUAAGGAACUGGACUGUGGAUGCCACCCCAGUGUCCGCUGUGUGUGACCUUGUGAGAUUUUGUGUGCGAUCUAUCUGUCCUGCUGCUAUCAGAGCGACUGGUAUGAGAGUCGAACGGUACUGGCAGAUCGAGCGGGUCCUUCGUCCUGGCAUUUCGGUCAUAUCGCUGUCUGCCAGUGUGAGAUUUAAACUGUCAGCUGAGACAGUGCCGGGUUGUGAGGACGAUUGCAGGACACAUAACACAGAGCGCUUAAGCAGGAGUUGGAUUCUACUUCAGCGAGGUUCUUUGUAACCGGAGACGAAUGCUUUACCUUGAUCGGGUCUGUGGACUGCCUUUUGGUGUCUGCUUGGUUUUAACUCUACUGUUGCAUCCCUAGUGACUAGUACGCUUAUAAUAGCUGGAAGCAUGGAGCUGGUUUGCGUUGUGCAUUUAUCUAUCCGACAUCAUCUUAUUUCGUACUCACAAUACGUUUCAUUUUGUUUCAUUGCUGUUACAAAUAAUCCAGUAUUCACAUGGUUGUCCUAGCAAUGCUAUAGGUAGGUACUCAUUUCUGGUUUCUCGUCUCGCGAAUGCUGUCAUCAUUGUCUUGUUCGUGUUGAUUGACAUUCUUCUGCCACUUAUGUAAUGUAUGCAUAUUACUUCCUCAGUGGUUGUGUUGUCGGCGUUUCGUGACACCAGUGAGAUCAUAGUUUAUUUCUCUCGAAUGCCGAAGUAACUGACCUGAGUGGUUUUGGCUAGUCAGAUUGCUGGUUGUUUUUUGUUUUUACUAGGUCAAAAAUGUCACAGGUGUGGUGCACGCCUAAAGCCUAACAAUACACGCAUUUUCGAACCCGAA
rnacentral:misc_RNA from 1 species